rnacentral:rRNA from 1 species
AGUCAACAUGCCCAGGGGACGUGGAUAACCUCGGGAAACUGAGGAUAAACCGCGAUAGGUCAUCACUUCUGGAAUGGGUAAUGACUUAAACCUAUAUGGCCCCUGGAUUGGACUGCGGCCGAUCAGGCUGUUGGUGAGGUAAUGGCCCACCAAACCUGUAACCGGUACGGGCUCUGAGAGGAGGAGCCCGGAGAUGGGCACUGAGACAAGGGCCCAGGCCCUAUGGGGCGCAGCAGGCGCGAAACCUCUGCAAUAGGCGAAAGCUUGACAGGGUUACUCUGAGUGAUUUCCGUUAAGGAGAUCUUUUGGCACCUCUAAAAAUGGUGCAGAAUAAGGGGUGGGCAAGUCUGGUGUCAGCCGCCGCGGUAAUACCAGCACCCCGAGUGGUCGGGACGUUUAUUGGGCCUAAAGCAUCCGUAGCCGGUUCUACAAGUCUUCCGUUAAAUCCACCUGCUUAACAGAUGGGCUGCGGAAGAUACUAUAGAGCUAGGAGGCGGGAGAGGCAAGCGGUACUCGAUGGGUAGGGGUAAAAUCCGUUGAUCCAUUGAAGACCACCAGUGGCGAAGGCGGCUUGGCCAGAACGCCGCUCGACGGUGAGGGAUGAAAGCUGGGGGAGCAAACCGGAUUAGAUACCCGGGUAGUCCCAGCUGUAAACGAUGCAGACUCGUGAUGAAUUGGCUUAUUGUUAAUUAGUGCCGCAGGGAAGCCGUUAAGUU